GAGAGGCAGCCCCGCUCUCCCUCCCGGAGCGCAGUAGACAGAUAUGCAAGAUGGCAGAGGAGGGGGAAAUCCAAUAGAAAAGGGAUAUUGCACCUACUUGUGGCCAGUUUCCUUGCCCUGCCUUUGGAUCUCAUGCUGUGCCCAGUCCUGCAGCCGCUGGUCCGGGAACCUUGGGCAUUUGACAUCCAAGACCUUCUUUUUGCCUUCCCUGAGGUCGGCUGUCACCUUCCGGCCUCCCCCACCGCUGCCCCUGUCGCCUCCUGCUGCAGCUCAGCCUCUCUGCCAUUUCACUCAUUCGCUUAAACCCACGACCUCCCGGGUCAUAAGGAAGAGGAUUUACCAAAGAAGUGGGCAAGCAGAAAUGAGGACCUCUUAAAGGAGCUAGCUGUGUUUAAGAAAAUUGAAAUUUGAAAGAUUCAGCUUGGCAAGGAUGCCCAUCACUUCUCUUUCUCCAGAGCUGUGUAAUUCUGGGAGCAUUUGGCUGUAAGUACAGGUCCCUGGAGAAUCAAGCUACAAGACCCAAGGGAGACAGAUGUGUAAUGUUGAAAUGUGAGGUAGAGGAGGGGGGGGAUGGAACAGGGUGAUGAAAAAAUUACACAGAGUAGGAGUAAAACAGUUUCCAAAAGAGAAGAACUCUGGUGCCCACACACAUGGGCACAAGAGAACUCUAUCAUCCCCUCUGAAGUAAAGAGGCAAGUUUUGGUGGGGGUGUUUCCAUUCCUUCUACAGUUCCUAUUGCCCUCUGCAUACAGGUGGUGUGCUCAUACAUUUGGCCGGUGCAAAAUGACCAGGCACUUCAGCAUUCUGAAUGUCAAUGCCGGAAGUCUAUGACUGAGUUCACUAGGUUCCCUCAGUUUACAUGAAGGCAAGCCUUCCCACCAAACAGAAAAGGUCCUCAGAGAAAUGGGAGUUGAGAGCUUUCACCAAAGAAAGUAAAAUCUCUAGGGAGAGAAACGCACUAGACUGACUGGCAAGAAGUUCAUAGAAACUGCUUCUGAUCCGUUUAAAGGACUCUAUGGGGACCCUCACCUAGGCCAGAGGAUAGAGAGGCAGUCCAGAGGACCAAGCCCCUCCCAGCUAUCCAAACCUAAAGGUCUUUGACCUUCAGGAAGGGUGGUAGAAUCCACUAAGGACGUAAGAGCGCCUGGACAGGAGGAGGCUCUGCCUGAGAGGUUUCAUUUCACCUUCUCACUCUGGGGAACUUAAAAAAUAAAUAAAAGAAGUUAACAUUGCCCCCUUGUACUAUUCUACUUAAUUCCUUUUAUCUCAUGCCCAGGGUGGGGGUGGAGGUCUAUAUUUGGGUCCUGUUGCAGAAAGGGGGUUAAGAGGAGUGAUGGGCAAUUUUAUAGAAAAUGAAGGGACCAUGGAAUCAAACCCAAGUAAAAACAAGACCCACAUGUGAAGCUGCAGUCGUUGUUUCUGCUGAAAAAUUAUAAACCACAGUGGUGGACCAGGGGUUGGGGUGGGGGCUGUGAGAAUUGGGUGGGAUACGGAAAACUAAAGAAAAUCAAAACUGAUUUCCCCCCAACUUUAGAGAUCUCUGUCCUGAAAGCCUUUCUAGAGGGCAGGGGGUAUGGGGAGUGAGGCGCAGCCAGGGCACACUCCCCUCCCUGGUUUUUCAAAUCCCUGGGGUCAGUGGCUUCAGCGAAUGGGUCUUCAGCCUGGUCUUUCCAAGAGUUUCCGACAGGAGCAAAGCCAACAUAUUCUAACUGAAAAAAUAAACACAAACUCCUCUGUGCCCUUGGGCCAAAGCACUGUGAAAAGAUCAGGCAUCAUACUUGUGGUUGUUGUUUAAUAAAAGUACUCACAGAACCAUCGCUUUUGUUUUCAAACCUGAAAACUGGGUUUCUUUUCUUUUUUUUUUUAUUUCUUUCUUUUAUCAUGUGCUUUCUGCCCUGAGUGUUAAUAAAAGAACUAACGUGCUAGUUCAAGUGUGUUUAACCUGAUGGAGCAAAUGCCAGCAGCCGCGGACCGCGCUCACCGCCUGCAGCGCCACUACCUCUGAGCGCCAACCCCGGCGGGUUCCCACUCCCCAGUACCCGAACCCCGUCAGGUCCACCUGUCCCAAGUCUCAGCCGUGAGACCCAACAGGUGACUUUCUGUUCAGCGGCCCCUGAGGUUCCCGACACCCUUUGACGUCCCGUCUAAGCUGUCGCUGGCCCAAGAGAAAAGAGGCCUCCAACAAGUUGUCGGAGCUGCAGUCGCUGCCUGCAUCCGCACCGUCCGCCUUUCCCUCUCCUCCUGAAAUUCGUUUCCUUAAGGGGCAGCAGACUGGGUCCCACGUUUUCUUGCGUUUCCUCCCACGGAAACGGGCAUCCUGGAAACAGUGCGUCCUUGGAAAGUCGAUGAGUUUACGGGCUGUUUGGAUUUGCUUGUUUUAUUACUGUCGGUUUUUUUUUCUUCCGGAUUUUU